rnacentral:tRNA from 1 species
GGGCCCGUCGUCUAGCUGGACAAGGACACAGAAAAAUUUACUGCCAGGAAAUUGUGUAGGCCUUCGGAGCCUGGGAUCCGGGGUUCGAAUCCCCGCGGGCCCGCCA